rnacentral:rRNA from 1 species
GAUGAACGCUGGCGGCGUGCCUAAUACAUGCAAGUCGAGCGAAUGGAUUAAGAGCUUGCUCUUAUGAAGUUAGCGGCGGACGGGUGAGUAACACGUGGGUAACCUGCCCAUAAGACUGGGAUAACUCCGGGAAACCGGGGCUAAUACCGGAUAACAUUUUGAACCGCAUGGUUCGAAAUUGAAAGGCGGCUUCGGCUGUCACUUAUGGAUGGACCCGCGUCGCAUUAGCUAGUUGGUGAGGUAACGGCUCACCAAGGCAACGAUGCGUAGCCGACCUGAGAGGGUGAUCGGCACGCUGGGACUGAGACACGGCCCAGACUCCUACGGGAGGCAGCAGUAGGGAAUCUUCCGCAAUGGACGAAAGUCUGACGGAGCAACGCCGCGUGAGUGAUGAAGGCUUUCGGGUCGUAAAACUCUGUUGUUAGGGAAGAACAAGUGCUAGUUGAAUAAGCUGACACCUUGACGGUACCUAACCAGAAAGCCACGGCUAACUACGUGCCAGCAGCCGCGGUAA